ACCUGGGUGGCACAGCGGUUGAGCGCCUGUCUUCGGCUCAGGGCGUGAUCCGGCGUUAUGGGAUCGAGUCCCAUAUCAGGCU
rnacentral:tRNA from 1 species